rnacentral:rRNA from 1 species
UACGUAGGGUGCGAGCGUUGUCCGGAAUUAUUGGGCGUAAAGAGCUCGUAGGCGGUUUGUCGCGUCUGCCGUGAAAGUCCGGGGCUCAACUCCGGAUCUGCGGUGGGUACGGGCAGACUAGAGUGAUGUAGGGGAGACUGGAAUUCCUGGUGUAGCGGUGAAAUGCGCAGAUAUCAGGAGGAACACCGAUGGCGAAGGCAGGUCUCUGGGCCGUAACUGACGCUGAGGAGCGAAAGCAUGGGGAGCGAACAGG